UCUAACUUAAACUGAGAAGAUAGUUCCUUCUAUUACAUGCAUGAAAAGUAAUUAAUAUUUUAAUUAAUAUUCAACCCAAAACAGGUCCACAAAUUAACCUAUAUAUACAAAGUAGAAACAAAUUCUUAACUAAUUAAUCAAAGAAAAAUGUACUGAAAUUUGGUAAAAUUACAAAUCCAAUUUUCAACUUCAUAGAUAGAUAAAAGUAAAUAACAUGCUUGACCUUGUACGAUUUUGAUCAAGUUUGGCUAACUUUGUGGCAGAUAUUAAUUGGUCUUUAAAUGUUGCGGACCACGUAAAAUUAACCCCCCCUAGGCCCCCAUGUUGGGCCAUGAAAUUCAAUGCCACCACAUAACAUAACAAAAAAGUCCUUGCCUUCCAAUUAAUUUCUUCACCAAUAAUCAUCUAGUUAAUUAUCCCAUAGGCGUGGUAUNN
rnacentral:lncRNA from 1 species